UUUUGAAUUGAGAGACACUCUCAUGGGCAAAUAUGGGGAAGACUCAAAAUUGAUUUAUGAUCUUGUUGACCAGGGAGGAGAGCUUUCCUCACUGCGAUAUGAUUUCACUGUUCCAUUUGCUAGGUAUGUUGCUAUGAAUGGCAUCACAUCCUUUAAAAGGUACCAGAUUUUGAGGCUAUCUAUAUGCUAACAGAACUUCUUGAUGAGCUAAAUAUUGGAGACUAUGAGUUGCAGCCCAUCAUUGUUAAAGAUCAUGACCCUCCCCUACCUUAGGUAUGAGACUUAUUUUUGCUAUUUCAUUCAUAAAUAUAAAUUUCCAGAGUUUCAGAAAUUCUCAUGUUCCAUCUAUCUGAAUUGAAUUGCAGGGAUAUUACCACCACAUUUCCAAGUUUUGUAUUUAAUUCAGAGGUUGAUGAGAUUGCUACGUGAGAUACAAUAGCUUAGAUUGCAGUUAGAGUUCAAUUGUCAGAAAUUUGGACGAACCUUACAUGAAAUAUGGUUAAAGACAAGAGGCUAGAAG